rnacentral:rRNA from 1 species
GCAGUCGACGCGAAAGUUCUCUUCGGAGGGCGAGUAGAGUGGCGAACGGGUGAGUAACACGUGAACAACGUACCCUUCGGUUGGGGACAACCUCGGGAAACCGGGGCUAAUACCGAAUAAGUUCUCAGAGUCGCAUGACUUCUGAGAAGAAAGCGGGGGAUCUUCGGACCUCGCACCGAUGGAGCGGUUCGCGGACCAUUAGCUUGUUGGUAGGGUAACGGCCUACCAAGGCUUCGAUGGUUAGCUGGUUUGAGAGGAUGGUCAGCCACACUGGGAUUGAGAUACGGCCCAGACUCCUACGGGAGGCAGCAGUCUAGAAGCUUCGGCAAUGGGGGAAACCCUGACCGAGCGACGCCGCGUGCAGGAUGAAGGCUUUCGAGUCGUAAACUGCUUUCAGUAGGGAAGAAAGGUGUUCGGGCUAAUAUCCCGGGCAUUUGACGGUACCUGCAGAAGAAGCCUCGGCUAAUUCCGUGCCAGCAGCCGCGGUAAUACGGGGGAGGCAAGCGUUAAUCGGAUUUAUUGGGCGUAAAGGGCAGGCAGGCGGUUUUUUAAGUCGGGUGUUAAAGACCACGGCUCACCCGUGGGGGUGCGCUCGAUACUGAAAAACUUGAGUCCAUCAGAGGCAAGCGGAGUUCCGGGUGUAGCGGUGAAAUGCGUAGAUAUCCGGAGGAACACCAGUGGCGAAGGCGGCUUGCUGGGGAUGGUACUGACGCUGAACUGC